UGACACUUUUUCUACUUUUCCUUUAGUGUUAGGUAUUGUUUUGUAUUUUACAGAGACAUGUGAACCCCAGCUGCUGCUUCUUUACACAACUUUAUUUACCUGAAUUAUAGAAACAAAACCUCCCCACAUGACCAACGAGUGUCAUAAUGCACACCGCCACUAGAUGUCCUCGUGUGACCUCGUAUACAUUACAUCCCUCUUCUUUUCUUUGGCACCUAUAUAAAAUAAUUUUGGAAACACUUGAACGCAACAAUUUCAUCAACAAGCAAACUACAACCUCUUUUUUUACAAAUGCUCUCAAAUGCAUUCGUAAUCUGAGUAUACAGUUUAUGAACAGCUAUCUGUGUGAUUAGGUAUUUUAUCGGAGAACGAGACAUUAGGUGGUAGAAGUCUGCUGUUUUUCUUCUUAUGUUUAAGGGGUUGCACCCAUAACCUUUUUGUUUUUCUUCUCAAAAGAAUGAGCAGCGCAGCAGCUUUCUUUCUCCUCCGAAGCUCUUGAUUGUAUCCUGGUUUACAUAUAAACAACACUUUAAAAACUAGGCCAAUGCUCAUGAUCAGGUGUCUAUCUGGUGACAAAAGCAGUAAUAACCUUUACAAUAAUAAUUACCGUUACAAUAAUAGUAAUAACCUUUUUUAUUCCAGCUGUCCAAGAGGGUCAGUGUCGGGACUCGGACAGAAAGGUUUGAGAAACAAACAUCAACUCCACUGCCCAGUCCUGUGCACAGCGAUGAUGAAUCAUCUUCCGUUUCAAUGUUUCAAGGAUCCCAGAUGAUAGAUCGUAAGAUCUGAAUUUCUUCAAAGCAAGAUGGAAUAACACUACGGUAUCAUUUUGGAUCAACAACAAGAUAGUAUAAUCUAUCAGAUGUAUUACAGAGGAGGAAAUGAGAAGUGACUCUGAUGAGGAACCGCUGCAGGAAUCUCACCCUGACCUCAAUGCUGCUGACAAGUUCAUUGUGUGCUGAAGCCAGCUGAUGACGCUAUUUGCAAUUUGCCCGGCCUGCUGUGGGGAAACCCAAUGAAAUGUUGAGAAGCAGAAAGGAACGUUUGUAAAAAUAAAGCAAGACGCUAUUUGGGAUUUCUGUUAGAAAAUGAAGUUGUACGAUAACUUGUACUUUUUCUAUAGUUUUAUUUAUACACUUUGUUGUUUUCAUGGUAUAGACGAGUCAUUUUCUGCCUUUCAUCUCUUAGGUUUUUGGCAGAACCAGCCAAUGCUGCAUGGAAAUAAGCCGGCCUGCAACCUCUUACUGAGUGGGGCCAUGCGACUUUUCAGGUGCAUGUCUACCCAGACCAUCAGGAUGUUGAAGCCGUUUGGACUUCAGAGCAUCAGUGCCAGCACCUUCUUCUGCCUUCGGUGCUUGAAUAAGAUUUCUACCGUGGAAGAAUGAGCCCGCGGGGAUCAUUAGAGAGCUGAAUGAGAUGAGGGACUGAUCCUGUCUGGUGACUGCAGUUAGAGGGUCUAAAGCACAGCAUACGGUUUCUGACUUGGCAACAUAUGCAAGUGUCAGCCCUCAUCACAGACAGAAAUCAGCAGGUAAAGACACGCACAUGUACACAAAAAAUCUUGCUGCUGACUAUAUUUACAGCUAGAUUGAAUCAAAUUUUAAACAAGGUUAUGAUAGAACUAUUAACAUAUAUAAUUUAUGGAAAUUUCAAGUAUUUUCCAAGACAACG